ACGAACGCUGGCGGCAUGCCUAACACAUGCAAGUCGAACGAGACCUUCGGAUCUAGUGGCGCACGGGUGCGUAACGCGUGGGAACCUGCCCUUAGGUUCGGAAUAACUCCCCGAAAGGGGUGCUAAUACCGGAUAAUGUCUUCGGACCAAAGAUUUAUCGCCUUUGGAUGGGCCCGCGUUGGAUUAGCUAGUUGGUAGGGUAAAAGCCUACCAAGGCGACGAUCCAUAGCUGGUCUGAGAGGAUGAUCAGCCACACUGGGACUGAGACACGGCCCAGACUCCUACGGGAGGCAGCAGUGGGGAAUAUUGGACAAUGGGCGAAAGCCUGAUCCAGCAAUGCCGCGUGAGUGAUGAAGGCCUUAGGGUUGUAAAGCUCUUUUACCCGGGAUGAUAAUGACAGUACCGGGAGAAUAAGCUCCGGCUAACUCCGUG
rnacentral:rRNA from 1 species